rnacentral:rRNA from 1 species
UACGAAGGGGGCUAGCGUUGCUCGGAAUCACUGGGCGUAAAGGGUGCGUAGGCGGGUUUUAAGUCAGGGGUGAAAUCCUGGAGCUCAACUCCAGAACUGCCUUUGAUACUGAAGAUCUUGAGUUCGGGAGAGGUGAGUGGAACUGCGAGUGUAGAGGUGAAAUUCGAUAGAUAUUACGCAAGAACACCAGUGGCGAAGGCGGCUCACUGGCCCGAUACUGACGCUGAGGCACGAAAGCGUGGGGAGCGAACAGG